rnacentral:lncRNA from 1 species
UCCUUUCGGAGGGUUUCUCCACUCUGCUCCCCCCUUUUUUUUGUGUUUCGCUUUCUGCAAUGAGACGCGCCUUGAUGCUUUUGUCUUCCGAUGGCAGUGUCCUGCCGAAGCACUUCUCCUGCCACAGGGGAUUCCGCUGAAGUCCACAAUCCAACGCCUGAAGAGGAAAGUUCAUCAUUUAACAAAAAGGUCGAAGAAGAUGGAUGGUGAGCUUCGC